rnacentral:rRNA from 1 species
CCUACGGGAGGCAGCAGUGGGGAAUAUUGCGCAAUGGGCGAAAGCCUGACGCAGCGACGCCGCGUGCGGGAUGAAGGUCUUCGGAUCGUAAACCUCUGUCAGCAGGGAAGAACGGUCACUGUGCUAAUCAGCAGUGAAUUGAUGGUACCUGCAAAGGAAGCACCGGCUAACUCCGUGCCAGCAGCCGCGGUAAUACGGAGGGUGCGAGCGUUAAUUGGAAUUACUGGGCGUAAAGCGCUCGUAGGCGGUAUGUCAAGUCAAGGGUGAAAUCCCCGCGCUCAACGUGGGAACUGCCUUUGAAACUGGCAGACUGGAGUGUAGGAGAGGAUAGUGGAAUUCCGGGGGUAGGAGUGAAAUCCGUAGAUAUCUGGAGGAACAUCAGUGGCGAAGGCGACUAUCUGGCACAUAACUGACGCUGAGGAGCGAAAGCGUGGGGAGCAAACAGGAUUAGAUACCCCAGUAGUC